CAAGAUACAAGCUACUAUUCGGAAGACUAUGAUUUACAGGUUCAAACAACUUCUCUCCGAGGGUUGAGUUUAUGUCAUGAAGCUCUUCUUUGUUGUGCCAAACCAAUGAUCUUAUAGGGCCACUAGGCAUCAGUUUAAGUUGAUUUUCCAAUUCAGGACCACUGUCAGGGAUGCUAUCUGCGAUUUUAUUUCAAAAUUUGCUCUUACAAUCUCUCUAUUCACUGAACUUUUGGAAACCAAAGAGGAUUUUGAUUUCUUAGUUGAUGUGGUGGGUCUGUUGGUCUCUGUGUCGGAAGAGAAAGAAUAUGAUAAAGAUGGAAAGAAGAUGAAGAUGGCUGUGAUGGAACUUGCUGAAAAUGAGUUAGCGUUCUUUAAUU